GAAUAUUGUGCCUAUGAUUCGAUCUCGCCUCUUAAACGGCAGGGUGUUGGCCAUGAGAGGAGCAAACGCUCUUUAUACUCCCCUCAAAGAUUCUAAAUGUGUAGGUAAUCGAGCCGUACACCCGAUGAAACGUGGCAUCCCGUCCCGUGCAGAUAUCGUUCGGCAGCCUGAGUUCAGUGCUGAGUGACCGGGCGGGCUUCCCGCUCUUCUUUCGCACCGUGGCUGCCGACUCGUCGCACAACCCUGCCCGUGUGGCAUUCUUGCGCCGCUUCCACUGGGAUGCUGUGGCCACCCUGCACGAAGACGACGAGCUCUACGCAUUGGCCAUCAACGAAUUGCUGACUCAGCUGGAGAGCGCCAACAUCGCCGUCUCGUCCUCGGAAAGCGUCACACGAAACGAUUUCCUCGAGCAAAUACAGGAGCUGAAGAACACCGAUAGCCGCAUCAUAAUCGGC
rnacentral:lncRNA from 1 species